GGGCCCGCACAAGCGGUGGAGCAUGUGGUUUAAUUCGAAGAUACGCGCAGAACCUUACCAACACUUGACAUGUUCGUCGCGACUUUAAGAGAUUAAAGUUUUCGGUUCGGCCGGACGAAACACAGGUGCUGCAUGGCUGUCGUCAGCUCGUGUCGUGAGAUGUUGGGUUAAGUCCCGCAACGAGCGCAACCCUCACUUUUAGUUGCCAUCAUUAAGUUGGGCACUCUGAAAGAACUGCCAGUGAUAAGCUGGAGGAAGGUGGGGAUGACGUCAAGUCCUCAUGGCCCUUACGUGUUGGGCUACACACGUGCUACAAUGGUAUCUACAACAGGAAGCAAGACGGCGACGUUAAG
rnacentral:rRNA from 1 species